rnacentral:RNase_P_RNA from 1 species
CAGAGAGCAAACCGCCGAUGGCCCGCGCAAGCGGGAUCAGGUAAGGGUGAAAGGGUGCGGUAAGAGCGCACCGCGCGGCUGGUAACAGUCCGUGGCACGGUAAACUCCACCCGGAGCAAGGCCAAAUAGGGGUUCAUAAGGUACGGCCCGUACUGAACCCGGGUAGGCUGCUUGAGCCAGUGAGCGAUUGCUGGCCUAGAUGAAUGACUGUCCACGACAGAACCCGGCUUAUCGGUCAGUUUCACCU